rnacentral:rRNA from 1 species
UGGGGAAUAUUGCGCAAUGGGCGAAAGCCUGACGCAGCGACGCCGCGUGGGGGACGACGGCCUUCGGGUUGUAAACCUCUUUCGACCGGGACGAAGCGGAAGUGACGGUACCGGUAUAAGAAGCACCGGCCAACUACGUGCCAGCAGCCGCGGUAAUACGUAGGGUGCGAGCGUUGUCCGGAAUUAUUGGGCGUAAAGGGCUCGUAGGCGGUGUGUCACGUCGAUCGUGAAAACUUACAGCUUAACUGUGAGCGUGCGGUCGAUACGGGCAUCACUGGAGUUCGGCAGGGGAGACUGGAAUUCCUGGUGUAGCGGUGAAAUGCGCAGAUAUCAGGAGGAACACCGGUGGCGAAGGCGGGUCUCUGGGCCGAUACUGACGCUGAGGAGCGAAAGCGUGGGGAGCGAACA